rnacentral:lncRNA from 10 species
GGAACCCCCCUGUUGCUUCCGCCUCCCGGGGCGCAGGCGCUGGGCGCGGCGGGGAAGGGACUCGGCACUGGGGAAACCCGGAGUUUCAGCCAGGGUCCCAGGGCUUCCUUCCCGGGUUCCUGCCGGAAAACUUUUCUCCUCCGCCCGGAAGCCUCGAUGGGGCAGUGAGAUCGCGGGGCGAGCCUGUCCUGCUCUGGCCUGCCCUGUGCUCAGGAAGCUGGCGGUCCCCCUCAGUGGAUCUUCACCCACAGGGACAACCUGCUGCAGACCGGGUAGGAGGGAGGCAGGGGCCUCUUCCCCUCUCCUUCCUGGCCUGGCCCCACACCCACCAGUGUUGGUUUCACUCUGUGGCUACGAUUCUUCCUGGGUGCCCUUUCCAUUGCACAACUCCUCUAGGCUCUACGAACAGAACUUCUCCCCGCCCCCAAGCCUCUUAGGGUGAGACAUGUUGUCGGUCUGCCAUUGUUGCUGGUCCCUAAAUAGCAGCACCCUUUGAAGGAUCCUUGAACCAUGACCACACCGCAACAAAGAGUCCUUCAUCAAACUCGCUUCCAAAUCCCCUCCCAAGAACACCUUCAGUUUCCUGCAAGAACCCUGACUGCUGAAGCCGGAUUUUGACUAAGCUUCUACCUUGUAAACCGUGACUGUGGGAUUGGGGUCGAGGCGCAAUCAGAGGUUGUAUAAGGCACUAGAUCAAGGCUGCCUGUCUGUCAGGAGUGUCUGCUUUAUUCAGUAGUAAAUGUGAAUUGUUUUUCAUUCUGUUGUGAAUACUGUUGGUUGACAAUGCAGCAGCCAUGCCCUCUCUAUCCUUGCUGGUUCAGGUAUCCACUCUGUGUGGCUAAGGGUAAACUCUGUCUCUUGAGAAAAU